rnacentral:pre_miRNA from 13 species
CAAUUAAGACGAAACUGGUUUUCACAAUGAUUUGACAGAUAGAUAUAAUUCUGAGAUCAUUGUGAAAGCUGAUUUUGUUCGGAUAUCAA